UAGCUCUACCUUAGUUUUCUUAUUACACCAAACAAAAUACUAGACUUAAGAGCUAUUCAAAUAAGGUACAGCUUAUUUGAAAAAGGCUACAACCUACAAUACUGGGUUAAUAUUGAUUUUAUCAACAAAGUGGGCCUAAGAGCAGCCAUCUUAUAGAAAGCGUUAAAGCUCAACUAUCUCCUCUCCUAAAUUCCAAAAAUUAUCUUCAACCCUUCAUUAUUACUGAACUAUUUUAUAUAUUUAUAAAAGUUAUCAUGCUAGAACUAGUAACAAGAAUUAGCCCUUCUCCAAAAUGUAUACUUAAGCCAAAAUGGACACCCCAUUGGCAGUUACCGCAAAUGCACCUAUUAUAGUACCUCCCAACUAGACAACUCUAUAACUCUUAGCGUUAACCUGACACCAGAGCAUUACAGGAAAGAUUAAAAGAGAAAGAAGGAACUCGGCAAAUCUCGGUCCCGCCUGUUUACCAAAAACAUCGCCUCUUGACCAAAUAUAAGAGGUCCAGCCUGCCCACUGACAUAGUUUAACGGCCGCGGUACCCUAACCGUGCGAAGGUAGCAUAAUCACUUGUUCUUUAAAUAAGGACUCGUAUCAACGGCAUCACGAGGACUAUACUGUCUCCUUUCUCCAAUCAGUGAAACUGAUCUCCCCGUGAAGAAGCGGGGAUUAACCUAUAAGACGAGAAGACCCCAUGGAGCUUAAAGCCCACAAACACCUCUACGCACUUAAACCAAUUUAGCCUAAGAGACCUGUAAGCCGGCUUUAGGUUGGGGGGACCGCGGAGAAAAACCUAACCUCCACGACAAACGGGCAAACGCCCUUAUCCAUGAAUUACAAUUCUAAGAAUCAAUAAACUGAUGUUUAAUGACCCGAUUAUUCGAUCAACGAACCAAGUUACCCUGGGGAUAACAGCGCAAUCUACUUUAAGAGCUCAUAUCGACAAGUAGGUUUACGACCUCGAUGUUGGAUCAGGGUAUCCCAGUGGUGUAGCCGCUACUAAAGGUUCGUUUGUUCAACGAUUAAAACCCUACG
rnacentral:rRNA from 1 species